rnacentral:lncRNA from 1 species
UUUCUAAUUAGGAUUGCUAUUUUUAUUCUUGUCGCCACUAUGACAUUAUUACAACUUAGGAUUGCGACCAUCUCAACCUACCAUUAUCCUCAAAUGAACACUACUUUUUACUGAUCCUGGCUCAUCAUAAGCCUACCAAAGCUCUUACUAAACAGCAUUAACAAAUAUCAAGCUCACUUUAAUGUUGAUUUUGGAUUAUGUGAAGCUAAUUCUAAUGCUCUUACUCACUCGAGCAAUUUUCUUUUAUUAUAGGGGGCAUCUUGCAUAUUCGGGUUCUGCAUUAGGUUGCCCUAAUUUCUUACAAUAUAUAUCUAAUUCGAGGGGGCCCAUUUCUGACUGAUACACCGACGAGAGGUGUGAGAUCUCCAUUUUGUAGCACUUUUUUUUCCUCGAUUAGCGAACACCUAAGAGCACAAAUGGACAUAGCUCUCUCAUUGAACCACUAUAAACCUGUAGUUUGCUUUGUGUUUUUCUGAUUUCUGCUUGCUUAUUAUUGCCCUCGGAAUUAAGGGUUAGGACCUAAUACAUAAGAGUGGAGUCGGAGCUGCGUCACACGUUCUAGACUCACAUGUAAUUGUAGGGAGUGUGGAGACUAUAUGACACUUCUAAUCACAAGUGCAAUGCCUAUUACAAUUAACAGUGCCAUGGUAAUCGGGACACAAUGAAUUGGAUGGUAUAAAUAUUGGAUAAUUGCUAAUAUCCUAGGAGUAAUGCUGUUGUUGAUUGACAUGAGAGUACCAUCUUGGUGUAAAUUAACAAUGAGAAGAUUUUGUUUAUAUUUUUUUACCAUUUAAGUAUCCUGUUCUCCGACUUGUGAUGUUAAAUAUGACUUGCUUGAUGCAGAUGAAUUUCGUAUACUUGUACGAUUUGGUUGUCUGCUUGUUGCAUGCAUUUAUCCCUGUGAUUAUUUUGAUAGGUAUGAAGCUUUCGAGCCUUCCUGGUUUAUGNN